rnacentral:rRNA from 1 species
CCUACGGGAUGCAGCAGUGAGGAAUAUUGGUCAAUGGCCGUAAGGCUGAACCAGCCAAGUCGCGUGAAGGAAGAAGGAUCUAUGGUUUGUAAACUUCUUUUCUCAGGGACGAAGAAAGUGACGGUACCUGAGGAAUAAGCCACGGCUAACUACGUGCCAGCAGCCGCGGUAAUACGUAGGUGGCAAGCGUUAUCCGGCUUUAUUGGGUGUAAAGGGCGUGUAGGCGGGAGCGCAAGUCAGAUGUGAAAACUCAGGGCUCAACCCUGAGCCUGCAUUUGAAACUGUGUUUCUUGAGUGCUGGAGAGGCAAUCGGAAUUCCGGGUGUAGCGGUGAAAUGCGUAGAUAUACGGAGGAACACCAGUGGCGAAGGCGGAUUGCUGGACAGUAACUGACGCUGAGGCGCGAAAGCGUGGGGAGCAAACAGGAUUAGAUACCCUUGUAGUC